CGGGUGAGUAAUGUAUGGGGAUCUGCCUGAUGGCGGGGGAUAACUACUGGAAACGGUAGCUAAUACCGCAUAAUGUCUGCGGACCAAAACGGGGGACCUCCGGGCCUCGCGCCAUCAGAUGAACCCAUAUGGGAUUAGCUUGUAGGUAAGGUAACGGCUUACCUAGGCGACGAUCCCUAGCUGGUCUGAGAGGAUGAUCAGCCACACUGGGACUGAGACACGGCCCAG
rnacentral:rRNA from 1 species